rnacentral:rRNA from 1 species
CAGCCGCCGCGGUAAUACGAAGGGGGCUAGCGUUGCUCGGAAUUACUGGGCGUAAAGGGCGCGUAGGCGGACAGUUAAGUUGGGGGUGAAAGCCCGGGGCUCAACCUCGGAAUUGCCUUCAAUACUGGCUGUCUUGAGUAUGAGAGAGGUGUGUGGAACUCCGAGUGUAGAGGUGAAAUUCGUAGAUAUUCGGAAGAACACCAGUGGCGAAGGCGACACACUGGCUCAUUACUGACGCUGAGGCGCGAAAGCGUGGGGAGCAAACAGGAUUAGAUACCCGCGUAGUCCCUGUCUCUUAUAC